rnacentral:rRNA from 1 species
GACGAACGCUGGCGGCGUGCUUAACACAUGCAAGUCGAACGGCAAGGCCCUGCUUUUGUGGGGUUCUCGAGUGGCGAACGGGUGAGUAACACGUGAGUAUCCUGCCCUUCACUUUGGUAUAACUUCAGGUAACUGGGGCUAAUACCGUAUAGGAUCUCCUGCUGCAUGGUGGGGGUUGGAUCGUUUCGGCGGUUGGGGAUGGACUCGCGGCUUAUCAGCUUGUUGGUGGGGUAGUGGCUUACCAAGGCUUUGACGGGUAGCCGGCCUGAGAGGGUGACCGGCGACAUGGGGACUGAGAGACGGCCCAGAGGCGUACGGGAGGCAGCAGGGGGGAAUAUUGCACAAUGGGCGGAAGCCUGAUGCAGAAACGCCGCGGGCGGGAAGACGGCCUUCGGGUUGUAAACCGCUUUAGCCUGUGACGAAGCGGGAGUGACGGUAAUGGGUAAAGAAGCACCGGCUAACUACGUG